rnacentral:rRNA from 1 species
AAUGAACGUUGGCGGCGUGGAUUAGGCAUGCAAGUCGUGCGAGAACCGUAGCAAUACGGGGACAGCGGCGAAAGGGAGAGGAAUACGUGGAUACCUACCCUCAGGUUCAGGAUAGCUGUGGGAAACUACAAGUAAUACUGAAUAAUAUCUCCGGAUCAAAGGUGUGAUUCCACCUGAGGAGGGGUCCGCGUCCUAUUAGCUUGUUGGCGAGGUAACGGCUCACCAAGGCAAAGAUGGGUAUGGGAUGUGAGAGCAUGAUCCCACUCACUGGGACUGAGACACUGCCCAGACACCUACGGGUGGCUGCAGUCGAGAAUCUUCGGCAAUGGGGGCAACCCUGACCGAGCGACGCCGCGUGCGAGAUGAAGGCCUUCGGGUUGUAAAUCGCUGUCAGAGGGGAGGAAAUAUCGGGGGGUUCUCCCUCCGGUUUGACCUAGCCUCAGAGGAAGGACGGGCUAAGUUCGUGCCAGCCGCCGCGGUAA